GAAGCUAGCAGGUGGCAGAGGCAGGAUAUUCACCCAGGUGGUCGACUCCAGAGCCCCUCACUUUAAGCAUCUGAAGCAAGGUUAAGAAUGUAAAGGUGCAGAGGAGGGAGGGGGGAAGCCCAGCGCUGUGCAGCCAUCUGUCUGCAAGGCCCGCAUGUGGACCCACCGUGCAGCUCUGCCCUCUCCUCUCCAGCCAGAGCCUCCUGAACGGACCCCUUCCUUCUUGGGACAGUGCU